rnacentral:lncRNA from 10 species
CCGAUUGGCGGCUCGGUGAGGAGAGCGGGGCGACGCGAGCCCGCUGGGGCCGCUUGGGCGCCGCUGACACGUUGGCUCUGCUCCUGCUCAUGCGCGGCCUGGGGCGCCCUUCUCUGACGCGAUUCUAACGCGACCCCGGAAGCGCGCAGCGAGCAGAGGGUUUCUUGCAUGUCUCACACGGAUGGAUCCAGCUAAAUGUCUUGCCAACAGCUCCUGUGGCCCCACCCAGAAGCCAUGCAGCACAAAAGGACCAAAAGGACAGCUAGAUUUCAUCUCGCACCUAACCAAUCAGCACUCCCCAUGCCCUAGCCCCCUGUUCACCAAACUACCUUUGAACAACCCCUAACCCAUGAGCCUUCAAUUGUAACCGAGCAGCUUAGCAGCUGUGAAUCCAAAAUAUCUGAGACAGGACUCAAUCUGUUUAGAAAGUUUAUUUUGUCAAGGUUAAGGACAAGCCCAUGACACAGCCUCAGGAGGUCCUGAUGACAUGUGCCCUGGGUGGCUGGGGCACAGCUUGCUUUCAUACAUUUUUAGGGAGACAUGAGACAUCAAUCAAUAUGUGUAAGAUGGAAAAAGAAGAAAAAAUAUAUGUAUAAGAUGUACAUUAAGCCGGGCGCGGUGGCUCACGCCUAUAAUCCCAGUACUUUGGGAGGCUGAGGCAGGUGGAUGGCCUGAGGUCAGGAGUUCGAGACCAGCCUGGCCAACAUAGUGAAACCCUGUCUCUACUAAAAAUACAAAAAAUUAGCUGGGCGCGGUGGUGGGUUUCACUCGUGUCCAUGUGAAGAGACCACCAAACAGGCUUUGUGUGAGCAAUCAAGCUGUUUAUUUCACCUGGGUGCAGGUGGGCUGAGUCUGAAAAGAGAGUCAGUGAAGGGAGAUAAGGGUGGGGCCGUUUUAUAGGAUUUGGGUAGAUAAAGGAAAAUUAUAGUCAAAGGGGGGUUGUUCUCUGGCGGGCAGAGUGGGAGUCACAAGGUGCUCAGUAGGGGAGCUUUUGAGCCAGGAUGAGCCAGGAGAAGGAAUUUCACAAGACAAUGUUAUCAGUUAAGGCAGGAACAGGCCAUUUUCACUUCUUUUAUGGUGGAAUGUCAUCAGUUAAGGCGAGAACCAGCCAUCUGGAUGUGUACGUGCAGGUCACAGGGGACAUGGUGGCUUAGCUUGGGCUCAGAGGCCUGACAGUGGGCGCCUGUAAUCCCAACUACUUUGGAGGCUGAGGCAGGAGAAUCGCUUGAACCCGGGAGGCAGAGGUUGCAGUGAGCCGAGACUGUGCCAUUGCACUCCAGUCUGCGCAACAAGAGCGAGACUCCGUCUUAAAAAAAAAAAAAAGAUGUACAUUAGUUCAGUCUGGAAAGGCAGGACACCUUGAAGGCCGGGUGGGGUUGUGGGGGUGGAGGGAGGCUUCCAGCUUCCAGGUCAUCGGUGGAUAAGAGACAAAAGAUUGCAUUCUUUUGAGUCCUUUCACUGAAUACACAAUUUGGUCUAGCUUAGUAAAUCUGCAUUUUUACAUAAACAAUAAGGCAGAGAAAGCAAACAGAUAGGCAUGUGUCUCCGGUGAGCAGGGGGAUGACCUCCUGUCCCACACCUGUGAAGAUCAGCUAUCAGUUUACAUUCCAGGGUGAAAUUCAACAGAACUGUUUGAGGGU